GACGAACGCUGGCGGCGUGCUUAACACAUGCAAGUCGAACGGAAAGGCCCUGCUUUUGUUGGGUUCUCGAGUGGCGAACGGGGGAGUAACACGUGAGUAACCUGCCCUUGACUUUGUGAUAACUUCAGGAAACUGGGGCGAAUACCGGAUAGGAGCUCCUGCUGCAUGGUGUGGGUUGGAAAGUGUCGGCUGUUGGGGAUGGACUCGCGGCUUAUCAGCUUGUUGGUGGGGUUGGGGCUUACCCAGGCUUUGACGGGUAGCCGGCCUGGGAGGGUGACCGGCCACAUUGGGACUGAGAUACGGGCCAGACGCAUACGGGAGGCAGGAGUGGGGAAUAUUGCAAAAUGGGCGGAAGCAGGAUGGAGGAACGCCGCGUGCGGGAUGACGGUUUUCGGGUUGUAACAAGCUUUCGACUGUGACGAAGCGUGAGGGACGGUAAUGGGUAAAGAAGCACCGGCUAACUACGG
rnacentral:rRNA from 1 species